CCCCUAGAUGUCCUGGGCCGCACGCGCAAUACAAUGUAAAGUUCAGAAAGCAUAUCCUGUUCCGGAAGGCAAUGGGUAAUCUUUUCAAUAUUUUACGUGUUAGGGAUCGAUCUUUGCAAUUAUAGAUCGUGAACGAGGAAUUCCUAGUAAGUGCAAGUCAUCAGCUUGCGCUGAUUACGUCCCUGCCCUUUGUACACACCGCCCGUCGCUACUACCGAUUGAAUGGUUUAGUGAGAUCUUUGGAUUGGCGCUGUGGGGGUGGCAACGCUCCUUCAGAUUGCUGAGAAAUUGCUCAAACUUGAUCAUUUAGAGGAAGGAGAAGUCGUAACA
rnacentral:rRNA from 1 species